rnacentral:rRNA from 1 species
UGCAUGUCUAAGUAUAAAUAACUACACAGUAAAACUGCGAAUGGCUCAUUAAAACAGUUAUAGUUUAUUUGAUAAAUUAAAUGGAUAACUGUAGGAAACUAGAGCUAAUACAUGCCAAGGUCGUAAGACUGCAUUUAUUAGAUAUACCAAGUCGGUGAAUCAUAAUAACUUUGCAAAUCGAAACAACGUUUCGAUAAAUCAUUCAAGUUUCUGACCUAUCAUGCUGGAUGGUAGUGUAUUGGACUACCAAGGCAGUCACGGGUAACGGAGAAUUAGGGUUCGAUUCCGGAGAAGGAGCCUGAGAAACGGCUACUACAUCUAAGGAAGGCAGCAGGCGCGUAAAUUACCCAAUCCUAAAUCAGGGAGGUAGUGACAAGAUAUAAUAACGCGAUUAAAUAUCGCGAUUGUAGUGAGGGUAUUCUAAAAAUAGCUUCGAGUACGAUUGGAGGGCAAGUCUGGUGCCAGCAGCCGCGGUAAUUCCAGCUCCAAUAGCGUAUAUUAAAGUUGUUGCAGUUAAAAAGCUCGUAGUUGGAUUUCAAGAAACGCAUCUGAGCAAUCAGUUUGCUUUCUACCAGUCUUUGACUGUUACUGUGAGAAAAUUAGAGUGUUUCAAGCAGGCUAUUGCAGGAAUACAUUAGCAUGGAAUAACGAAUGUGUCUACAAUUUGGUUGAUUGUAGGUUACGAUUAAUAGGGACAGUUGGGGGCAUUAGUAUUUAAUUGUCAGAGGUGAAAUUCUUGGAUUUGUUANAGACUAACGUAUGCNAAAGCAUUUGCCAAGGAUGUUUUCAUUAAUCA